GGCCAUACCAUGCUGAAUAUACUUGGGUUAUCGUUAGAUCACCGAAGUCAAGCAUCAUUGGGCGCGGUCAGUACUUGGGUGGGUGACCACCUGGGAACACCGCGUGC